GGGUCAGUGGCGGACGGGAGCGUAAUACAUGGGUAACGUACCCUGGGCAUGGGGAUAACCACGGGCCGAAAGGUCCUUUGCGAAAGUGUGGCUAAUACCCAACGAAAUCGGCGGGUCGCAUGGCCUGCCGAUCAAAAGGUGGCGCAAGCUAUCGGCCUUGGAUCGGCUCAUGUCCUAUCAGGUAGUUGGUGAGGUAACGGCCCACCAAGCCUGUGACGGGUAGCGGGGCUGAGAGGUUGACCCGCCUCAUCGGGACUGAGACACUGCCCGGACACCUACGGGUGGCUGCAGCAACGAAUAUUUGGCAAUGGGCGAAAGCCUGACCAAGCGACGCCGCGUGCGGGAUGAAGUCCUUCGGGAUGUAAACCGCUGUCAGGGUUAAUCAAGCGACCCGGUAACGACGGGAAGUUGAGAUAUCCCAGAGGAAGCCACGGCUAACUCCGUGCCAGCAGCCGCGGUAAGACGGAGGUGGCAAGCGUUACUCGGAUUUACUGGGCUUAGAGCGGGUGCAGGCGGCUGGGCAAGUCCGGAGUGAAAGCCCCCGGCUCAACCGGGGAAUUGCUUUGGAUACUGCCUGGCUUGAGGCAAGCAGGGGCCAGUGGAACGUUUGGUGUAGCGGUGAAAUGCGUAGAUAACAAACGGAACGCCGGUGGUGAAGACGGCUGGCUGGGCUUGACCUGACGCUCAGACCCGAAAGCGCGGGGAGCGAACCGGAUUAGAUACCCGGGUAGUCCACGCCCUAAACGAUGCGCACUAGGUUCGGGCGCCUCUGACGGUGUCCGGGCCGCUGUGAAAACAUUAAGUGCGCCGCCUGGGGAGUACGGCCGCAAGGCUAAAACUCAAAGGAAUUGACGGGGGCUCACACAAGCGGUGGAGCAUGUGGAUUAAUUCGAAUCAACGCGAAGAACCUUACCUGGGUUUGACAUGCACGGAUGCGGCCCGUGAAAGCGGAUCCCGUUGCCCUUCGGGGUGAAACGUGCACAGGUGCUGCAUGGCUGUCGUCAGCUCGUGCGGUGACGUGUUGGGUUAAGUCCUAUAACGAGCGAAACCCCUGUCGCUAGUUGCCAGCGGGUCAUGCCGGGCACUCUAGCGAGACUGCCGGCGUCAAGCCGGAGGAAGGCGGGGACGACGUCAAGUCAUCAUGGCCUUUAUGUCCAGGGCGUCACACGUGCUACAAUGGCUGCUACAAAGCGACGCAAAACCGCGAGGUCGAGCAAAUCGCACAAAAGCAGCCUCAGUUCGGAUUGUAGUCUGCAACCCGACUGCAUGAAGCUGGAAUCGCUAGUAAUCGCGCAUCAGCCAUGACGCGGUGAAUGUGUUCCUGAGCCUUGUACACACCGCCCGUCAAGUCAUGGAAGCCGGGAGCACCCGAAGUCCCGUUAGCUAACCCGCAAGGGAUGCGCGGGCCGACGGUGAGCCUGGUGACUGG
rnacentral:rRNA from 1 species